CCUACGGGUGGCUGCAGUGGGGAAUAUUGGACAAUGGGGGCAACCCUGAUCCAGCCAUGCCGCGUGUGUGAAGAAGGCCCUCGGGUUGUAAAGCACUUUCAGUGAGGAAGAACGCCUGGUGGUUAAUACCCAUCAGGAAAGACAUCACUCACAGAAGAAGCACCGGCUAACUCCGUGCCAGCAGCCGCGGUAAUACGGAGGGUGCGAGCGUUAAUCGGAAUUACUGGGCGUAAAGCGCGCGUAGGUGGCUUGAUAAGCCGGUUGUGAAAGCCCCGGGCUCAACCUGGGAACGGCAUCCGGAACUGUCAAGCUAGAGUGCAGGAGAGGAAGGUAGAAUUCCCGGUGUAGCGGUGAAAUGCGUAGAGAUCGGGAGGAAUACCAGUGGCGAAGGCGGCCUUCUGGACUGGCACUGACACUGAGGUGCGAAAGCGUGGGUAGCAAACAGGAUUAGAUACCCUAGUAGUC
rnacentral:rRNA from 1 species